rnacentral:rRNA from 1 species
GNGCGAACGCUGGCGGCAGGCUUAACACAUGCAAGUCGAGCGGGCGUAGCAAUACGUCAGCGGCAGACGGGUGAGUAACGCGUGGGAACGUACCUUUUGGUUCGGAACAACACAGGGAAACUUGUGCUAAUACCGGAUAAGCCCUUACGGGGAAAGAUUUAUCGCCGAAAGAUCGGCCCGCGUCUGAUUAGCUAGUUGGUGAGGUAACGGCUCACCAAGGCGACGAUCAGUAGCUGGUCUGAGAGGAUGAUCAGCCACAUUGGGACUGAGACACGGCCCAAACUCCUACGGGAGGCAGCAGUGGGGAAUAUUGGACAAUGGGCGCAAGCCUGAUCCAGCCAUGCCGCGUGAGUGAUGAAGGCCCUAGGGUUGUAAAGCUCUUUUGUGCGGGAAGAU